rnacentral:snRNA from 1 species
AGCUUUGCACAGUGGCAGUAUCGUAGCCAAUGAGGUUUAUCUGAGGCGUGAUUAUUGCUAAUUAAACGAUUUAAGGAAGGGGCGCCUGGGUGGCUCAGUCAGUUAAGCAUCUGCCUUCAGCUCAGGUCG